rnacentral:lncRNA from 1 species
ACCAGAUGAUUUUAGUUAAGUAGCAAAGAUCUUUCCAGGCUUUAUUUUACAUUUUAUCUUAAUAGCCUAAUUGAUAAGAUUAUGAUGUAUAUCCUAAUAUUAGUAAUCUUUGGUAGUUUGAGGAGGUAGCAAAGGGUGAGCCCUUUGGGUUUUAACUUACUCUCCCUUUUUCUAUACUUUUCCUGUGCUGUGCAUUUUAAUUUUUGCUUAUUUUAUCUUUCAUAAAAUUUUGUUGAAG